AUGACGCCUGCUGCAGAGAGGCAGCUGGAGCUGCUCUCUUGCCCUAGGCAAUCAUCUGCUCCCGUGUCUGCCUUCUUGAUACGCUUUUUGGGUUUUAUUUCUGUCCAAGGGGGGCAGCUGUUCUUCCUGGAUGCAGCAGAACCUGCCAUUAUGUGUGGAGGGCUCCUCUUCAAAGCAGCCUGUCCUUGCCUUGCUCCAGGCAGCGCUGGGCUUGUUCUGCUCUCCAAGGCUGGGAGACCCUGUUGGCAGCUGAGUGGAAGAAAACGUCCCUUUAGGGCUUCAGGCUGACACGCAGCUUAAGCAUCUGCAGAGGGAUCGCUGCAAGUCGGAGGUCUCAGGUGGCAAAGAGCUCCCUGGAAGAUAAAACCUUUACAGGUAACUGUUCUUCGUUAAAGACCUUCCCUUCCGAAAGCUCCCACGUUUUGCCAGAUGUGGAGGCGGCCAGCUAAGGCACGUGCAGCUUUUCCGAAGGGAACCGCUUCUCUUGUAUCUGCCCUGGGGAGGGUCUCCCCGGGGUAGAGCAGUGGAUGUGUGAAACAGUAAGCUGCACAUCUGGGAUGUGGAAACCGUAGAAGCUCUUAACGUUUUACGGGUGAACUUUGCAUGAGCUGAAAGUGGAGAGGGGCAAAAAGACUAUUUAUUUUGCGUAUUUAGUAAGUAAAUGGUACCUGCUAGCCUAUGAAUGAACUGCUUUGGUGGCCUUUGGUGCUCCAUGGUGGAAAUAACAGGAGUUCUUCUAACGAAGCGGGCAGUUUGUCCAGCUGCUAGAGAGGAGGUGUUGGUACUAAGGCCUGCAUAACCACAGGGAUGUACUUUGGGGCUUCCAAUUUCUUCUGCUCUUUCUACAAUUCAGAAUGGACCUUCUUUAUUUAAUCCAGCAGUAGUCAGCUACCCAUUGCUGUUCAGUGCCUGUGAUAGUGUUAUGCUGCUGGGAGAGAAAUGUGCUGGCAAGUCACCCCUGGUACCACUGGUGCUGUUCUAGUGCUAGAUGGUGCCAGGUUUUGGCAGCACUCUGCAUACUUGAGAGUGGACUAACUCUUUCUCAGUAGAGUUAAUCCUAGAUUGGAUGCAGACAAAGCAUAGUCAGAAAAUUUAAAAAAAAAAAAAAGUCUUGCAGACAUUUUGUUUAAUACUGUGUCUUUCAUGUAAAACUGAAGGUCAGGUAAUUAACUGGUCAAUCUUAAGGGGGGAAUUUGGGGUCUUUAGAGAUGUUCCUGUUAACUCCAUUUGUAUUUUUUUUUUUAUUACAGGCAAAUGGGUGUGCAGGUUUCACUGCAGGCAGAGGCUUGCUGGGGCAGCAGCAAUUGUCUGAGGAAAUCGAAUAAGCUGUUGGUGCUGCUUUGAAGAUCCCCGUUUGAAAGGGAUUGAGGAGAUGGACACUCAUAAUUCACAAUUUAAAUGAGACUACUUCUUGAGGAAAAGUUUGUCUUCAGGAUUUGGAUAUAGUAACUCGAAACAUCAAAGGUAGUGGGGGACAAGAUGUAACUAACAAAUUGUAUAAAAUAUUUCUUGUAGUAUGUUAAUCCCCUCUCACUGCUUGCUUAAAGUUGUGGAUCUUUUUUAGUGAACUAUUUAUUACCUAUGUAUUAAAUCUAUAUUUAUUAAACCUAUAUUUAAACUUGCUUAUUCUGUUUCUUAUUAUAUCAUAAAUGUACCUGGUUGAAAUUACUUGUUUUGGAAAUUGUACUUUGACUGCACUGCAGUCUACUUGCCACUUUCUCUCCUCAGAGUGGUGAGGAGCUCUAGUUGCUUUGGGAGAGUAGGAGUCCUGGUUCUGAGGCUGCCAAGUACAGCAGGAUUCAAAAGUCACCUUGAAUUCUUGUCUGCGGGAGACUCUGGAGAGGCAGGAAUGUGACACUGGGAGACUGGUGCCUCCCCUGCAACACAUGUGCACACCCACUGUCUAGCAUAGCUUCUGCUGCAAGGAGAGUUUUUUUUAAGUGUUGCAUUUCCUCCUGCACAAGUUCAUAAGGUAACCUUUCUAUUCUUCAGUUCUUGACUUGAAAGAACUUCCUAAUUAUCUCCAUUCCCUGGGCCUGGAGGAAGUCCACAAAAGCUAGAGAAGUUAGAAAAGGCUGCCAAAUACAUAAAAUAAAUUGAAACUGGUAGGGAGGGGAAAGAAGGCC
rnacentral:lncRNA from 1 species